rnacentral:rRNA from 1 species
AGCUGAUCACUGGGCGUAAAGCGUGCGCAGGCGGUUUUGUAAGACAGAGGUGAAAUCCCCGGGCUCAACCUGGGAACUGCCUUUGUGACUGCAAGGCUGGAGUGCGGCAGAGGGGGAUGGAAUUCCGCGUGUAGCGGUGAAAUGCGUAGAUAUGCGGAGGAACACCGAUGGCGAAGGCAAUCCCCUGGGCCUGCACUGACGCUCAUGCACGAAAGCGUGGGGAGCAAACA